CGUGAAUGACCCGCCGGGACACAAGGCCCACCCAAUCAGCCCACGCUCCCGCCACGUGCGACACGUGGAGACCCACACCCGCAAAGCAAAGCGUGAAAGCGCCAACCCGACCCGCGUGGGGAGAGAGAGAGAGGUGAACACGCCUCGCCUGGUCCGUGCCAAAAACAGAGCACGCUUACACUCACACGCGUGAGAAUUCCAACCUCCCCGCCUCCUCCUCACAUGCUCGCACGCUUUCUCCCUACUCCUCCUCCGCCCCCGACCCGACCCGACCGUCGCCGCCCUCUUCCGUCCUCCUCUCUCCGGGGCCCGGUUCGUUUCGGUUAAACCAACCUGCGCUAGGUCUCCGGCCGCCGGAAUUUCGAGUUUCUGGAGAAGAAUUGAGCACGGAUCGGGUGCUUUUAGCUCCGAAAGAGCACGAGGAAGUGGAAUCGGAGG
rnacentral:lncRNA from 1 species